GACGUAGGGGGGCCAGCGUUGUUCGGAAUUACUGGGUGUAAAGGGUUCGUAGGCGGUGUAGCAAGUCGGGAGUGAAAUCUCUGGGCUUAACCCAGAGGCUGCUUCCGAAACUGCUGUGCUUGAGUGUGGGAGAGGCGCGUGGAAUUGCAGGUGUAGCGGUGAAAUGCGUAGAUAUCUGCAGGAACACCCGUGGCGAAAGCGGCGCGCUGGACCACUACUGACGCUGAGGAACGAAAGCUAGGGGAGCAAACAGG
rnacentral:rRNA from 1 species